AAUUGCCCUGAUGUGGGGGAUAACCAUUGGAAACGAUGGCUAAUACCGCAUGAUGCCUACGGGCCAAAGAGGGGGACCUUCGGGCCUCUCGCGUCAGGAUAUGCCUAGGUGGGAUUAGCUAGUUGGUGAGGUAAUGGCUCACCAAGGCGACGAUCCCUAGCUGGUCUGAGAGGAUGAUCAGCCACACUGGAACUGAGACACGGUCCAGACUCCUACGGGAGGCAGCAGUGGGGAAUAUUGCACAAUGGGCGCAAGCCUGAUGCAGCCAUGCCGCGUGUGUGAAGAAGGCCUUCGGGUUGUAAAGCACUUUCAGUCGUGAGGAAGGUGGUGUAGUUAAUAGCUGCAUUACUUGACGUUAGCGACAGAAGAAGCACCGGCUAACUCCGUGCCAGCAGCCGCGGUAAUACGGAGGGUGCGAGCGUUAAUCGGAAUUACUGGGCGUAAAGCGCAUGCAGGUGGUUUGUUAAGU
rnacentral:rRNA from 1 species